rnacentral:misc_RNA from 1 species
UGGCUCUCGCAUCGAUGAAGAACGCAGCGAAAUGCGAUAAGUAAUGUGAAUUGCAGAAUUCAGUGAAUCAUCGAAUCUUUGAACGCACCUUGCGCCCUUUGGUAUUCCGAGGGGCAUGCCUGUUUGAGUGUCAUUAAAUUAUCAACCUUUACUAGCUUUUGCUUUGUUAAAGGAUUGGACGUGGGGGUACAUUUUGCAGGUUUUUGAUAAAAAAAUCUGCUCCCCUCAAAUGCAUUAGCGGUUUCCUUGUGGACUCGUCUAUUAGUGUAAUAAAAUAUAUCUACGCUGCUAGAUGUCUACGUCUUAAGGUUAUAUACUGCUUUUAUAGUUGUCCUUUAUUAGACAACAUUUUAUGACUCUUGACCUCAAAUCAGGUAGGACUACCCGCUGA